CAUAUACUCCCUCCGUCCGAAAAAACUUGUCUCAAUCUUAUUUCUUAAAUGGAUGUAUCUAGCACUAGCUUGGUGUUAGAUACAUCAAUUUGAGGGACAAAUUUUUUCAGACGGAUGGAGUAGCAC
rfam:Triticum aestivum genome assembly, contig: Triticum_aestivum_CS42_TGACv1_scaffold_457669_5DS